AGUACAGACCUAUCGAAUUACCUGAAGGGGAACUGGUCGCAGGAGCUGGAAAGGUUGCAGACGAGGCUGCAGAUGCAGAUCCUGAACCUUAAUGGGACCAGAGUGGAACCAGUGACCCUUGGAGACUUUACCUCUUGGCUUACCUCUGCUUUUUCUUACUUUAAGGAAUGGGUGGGAGUGAUUUUGUUUGGUGCUGCCAUAUGCUGUGGACUGGUGUUCAUGCUCUGAUUGGUAUGCAAAUUCAGAACCCAACAAAAACGUGACAAGGUGAUUAUAACUCAGGCACUU
rnacentral:lncRNA from 1 species